rnacentral:rRNA from 1 species
AGUCGCGUGCGCAGUUGCCGUAGCAAUACGGUGAUGGGCGCACGGCGCACGGGUGCGUAACACGUGGGCAAUCUGCCCUCUGAUGGGGAAUAACCCCGCGAAAGCGGGGCUAAUUCCGCAUAACAUUCCCAUGACUUAGGUUGAGGGAUUCAAAGCAGUGAUGCGUCAGAGGAGGAGCCCGCGCCCGAUUAGCUAGUUGGUGAGGUAACGGCUCACCAAGGCAAUGAUCGGUAGCUGGUCUGAGAGGAUGAUCAGCCACACUGGAACUGAGACACGGUCCAGACUCCUACGGGAGGCAGCAGUGGGGAAUCUUGCACAAUGGGCGAAAGCCUGAUGCAGCGACGCCGCGUGGGGGAUGAAGCAUUUCGGUGUGUAAACCCCUUUCGACUGGGAAGAAAGCCUCGCAAGAGGACUGACGGUACCAGUAUAAGAAGCCCCGGCUAACUACGUGCCAGCAGCCGCGGUAAGACGUAGGGGGCCAGCGUUGUUCGGAAUUACUGGGUGUAAAGGGUUCGUAGGCGGUGUGGCAAGUUGGGAGUGAAAUCUCUAGGCUCAACCUAGAGGCUGCUUCCAAAACUGCUGUGCUUGAGUGUGAGAGAGGCUCGUGGAAUUGCAGGUGUAGCGGUGAAAUGCGUAGAUAUCUGCAGGAACACCCGUGGCGAAAGCGGCGAGCUGGAUCACAACUGACGCUGAGGAACGA